GCAUAUCAAUAAGCGGAGGAAAAGAAACCAACAGGGAUUGCCCUUAGUAACGGCGAAGUGAAGCGGCAACAGCUCAAAUUUGAAAUCUGGCUUCGGCCCGAGUUGUAAUUUGCAGAGGAUGUUUCUGGCGCGGUGCCUUCCGAGUUCCCUGGAACGGGACGCCACAGAGGGUGAGAGCCCCGUAUGGUUGGACACCAAGCCUGUGUGAAACUCCUUCGACGAGUCGAGUAGUUUGGGAAUGCUGCUCAAAAUGGGAGGUAAAUCUCUUCUAAAGCUAAAUACCGGCCAGAGACCGAUAGCGCACAAGUAGAGUGAUCGAAAGAUGAAAAGCACCUUGAAAAGGGGGUUAAACAGUACGUGAAAUUGUUGAAAGGGAAGCGCUUGUGACCAGACUUGCGCCGGGCGGUUCAUCCGGGGUUCUCCCCGGUGCACUCCGCCCGGUUCAGGCCAGCAUCGGUUUUCGUUGGGGGAUAAGAACGUCAGGAACGUGGCCCUCCUUCGGGUGGGUGUUAUAGCCUGGCGUACGAUACCCUGGCGGGGACCGAGGUUCGCGCUCCGCAAGGAUGCUGGCGUAAUGGUCAUCAGCGACCCGUCUUGAAACACGGACCAAGGAGUCGUCCAUUAGAGCGAGCGUUUGGGUGUCAAACCCGCACGCGUAAUGAAAGUGAAAUUAGGUGAGAGCUUCGGCGCAUCAUCGACCGAUCCUGAUGUUCUCGGAUGGAUUUGAGUAAGAGUUUUAACGGACGGACCCGAAAGACAGUGAACUAUGCUUGUAUAGGGUGAAAGCCAGAGGAAAACUCUGGUGGAGGCUCGCAGCGGUUCUGACGUGCAAAAUCGAUCGUCAAAAUAUGAGCAUGGGGGCGAAAGACUAAUCGAACUGUCUAGUAGCUGGUUAUUGUUGA
rnacentral:rRNA from 1 species